AGCAGUAGUUACUCAUAACUGAUAAAAAAGAGAAUUGAGUUGUAAUUGGGACAUCAAGAUUAACAAUACAAUUUCUAUUUCUCCCUCUUGAUCUUUCUCUUUCUCUCCUUCUCUUUCUCCCCUUUCUUCCAUUUCUUCCCUCUUUCCUCUGUUCUUCUGUUUGGUUGUAACCAGGUCACAACAUUGUAAGAGUUUCAUAAAUCACCAAUUGCUAACAUGCUGAUGGAGAAAGGCAGCAAGUUGAAGUUCCUCCAUGGCCAACAGAGACAAGCAUGAAAGUACCAACAAGAAAUCAGAGGACUAUUGAAUUACUAUAUAAAAA
rnacentral:misc_RNA from 1 species